CUGACUUUUCAUUUAGAAAAAUUGAACUUCCUGGGGGACACAUUUCGGGACUCUUGACAGUUAGCAUGUUAGCAAGUUGCUGAUAACAUUCUGGAACUCUUUGGCUAACAUGCCCGUUAAAUGAUUAGCUCAGAGUUCGGUAAGUGUUUGGAGUUUUUUAAACCGUCUCUGUCUGAGGAUGUUUUCGUCUGUCUGGAACUUUAUCAAACGCCACAAACGGAAAUUUAUUUUUACCGGAGCUGUAGUUGGAGGAGUCUAUGUCCUGGGUAAAUAUGCCCAGAAGAAGAUCAAGGAGAUCCAGGAGAAGGAGGCCACGGAGUACAUGGCUCAGGCCAGGAGGCAGUUCCACUUUGAGAGCAACCAGAGGACCUGCAACAUGACGGUGUUGUCGAUGCUUCCUCCGCUCAGAGAGGCCAUCAUCGCCCAGCUGAACUCAGAGAGCCUCACAGACCUCCUCAAGACUAAACCAGCCAAUAAACUGGACAUCUGGGAGGAUCUGAAGAUCAUCAGUUUUACUCGGACCACUGUGGCAGUCUAUAGCACCUGCAUGCUGGUGGUCCUCCUGAGAGUCCAGCUCAACAUCAUCGGAGGAUAUUUGUACCUGGAUAACUCUGCUGGGAAGAGUGCAACGGCUCCUUUGGCUCCUCCAGAUGUCCAACAACAGUACCUGUCUAGCAUCCAGCACCUGCUUGGAGACGGUCUGACUGAGCUGAUGACGGUGGUGAAGAAGGCCGUCCAGAACUCCUUGGGCAGCAUUUCUCUGAAGCAGACCCUGUCUCUGCUGGAUCUGGAGCAGCAGCUGAUCUGGAUCAGAUCGGAGGUGGAGGCCGCCUCCGAUCACCCGCUGUCCUGGUACAUGAUGGCGGACGACGAGAAUGCGCUCGCCAACCAGGCGUGUGGAUUAACGGAGAAUGACGUGAUGACCAUCAGACUGCUGAAUGAGACUCGGGACAUGUUGGACAGUCCAGACUUCCCCACUGUCCUCAACACCUGUCUGAACCGAGGUUUCUCUCGUCUCCUUGACAACCUGGCCGAGUUCUUCCGUCCUCCCCCAGGUGACUCAACGCCCAGCUCCACACCUGACAGUCUGUCUGCAGUGAGGCUUCCGCUGGCCAAGAUAAUCCCCAUCAUCAACGGCCAGAUCAACUGCAUCUGCAGCGAGACCCCCGGACACUUCCUCCAGGACCUGCUGAUGAACGAUCAGGUGAAGGAGUUCGCCGCCAACGUCUACGAAACCUUUAGCACGCCGCAGGAGCUGCAGAAAUAGCCACCUGCACGGACGGAGACGAGGAUGACCGGUGAGACGGCAGCGUCCUCUGAGACGAGGACACUCCGAGGAAGACGUUCCCGACAGCAUGAAGACAAUAACCUGACCGUGACUGUGGUGCAUCAUGGGAACUGGAGUCCUGGAAAACAUUCUGAAGAAGUUUAUUUCCCUCAGGGACAUCUUGAGAUGGAAUGAGAUGGAAAGAGAGGAAGUCACUUCCUGUCCAGCUCGUUUUUACCUUUUCAAAUAUGAAGCUCAGACAUUCAAAAUUAAUCUGUAUUUAAGGACAUUUAUCCUCUUUAUCGGCCGUUUCCCAUCGUUUGCCAGACAAUUCUAGUUGUUUAUUGCCCGUUUUCUGUACAUUAUCUGCGGUUUUCCCACAUUAAUCAGCCAUUCCCAGUCGUUUAUCGGCCUCUUCCCGGUGUGUACCAUCUGUUUUCCUGUCUGAAUCCUGUACUUCCUGCUCUGUCCACACGGCGUCGCUGUUCUCUGCAGUGUUUCUUCUGCAGCCUCUACGUGUUUCUUCCUGAGUUUUGUAUUUUCUUCACUUCAACUCCAGUUUUCUCUGACUGAAGUGAUUCCUCUGACCUUUAACAUCUGGGGCAGUCCCAUGAAUGUCCUGCAGGUCUCAGUCCUCAAUCCACCAUAUUUGCGUAUUUCCAGAUUCCCCCUCCAUGGAAGGAUGAGGGGGUCCAGAGGUCUGGGGUUUUAUCUGACGGCUCGUCUGAAGGCUCCUGGUUUUACGUUAACCUCUGCUGGGAUGUAUGAACACAGCUCUGCGUGGAACAUGGAGGCACGGAUCUGCUGAAAGCUGGUCCCAGUGGUUUCUGGUCAGCUGGAAGCUUCUGGCUUGCUCUGACGGACCCGCCAGGUUUCUGAUGAACGUCCAGAAUUCCACACAGAAAACUGGAAUCAGCUGAACGACCAAUGAAAUUUUCAGACCGUCGGACCACGUUGAAGGCGUUCCAUCACAGACAGGAAGUGAUUUUACCAACAGGAAGUUGAACUGAUCCUGGUUCUCAUGGAUUGCUGCACUGCGCCGGGAAGAACGUCUCCAUGGUGGGAAAAAUCUGUGGAAAUCCUUUAAAUAGAGAAUUAGUUAUUGAUUAAUAAGAUAAAUAAAACGAAGCCUGAGACAGAGGUUCCACUGAGUAAAAGGUGAUUUAAUGGAAAGUUCAUCUGGAGAACAUCUGAGCUGUUUUCCUGGUUGACGAUGACUCAGCAUGACUUCAUCUUCUCUCCUGACCAGCUGAGGUCCAACCAUAUAAGGAAGCAGGGGGUCACAUGACUUCAUUAACAUGAUCCAGCUGUGAGUCAUCCUGAAGUCCAGCUUGUUUAUGGCUUUUCCCGCCUCCUCCUUCAUCUGAGCUGAGCUCCACCAUGACCCGAUCGAAAGUCCACAUGUUGGUUCAAACAGUUAAGGGAUAAACGUGUUCUAAACAUGUUACUCACAUGACGGAUCACAUGAGCCAUCAGCUGAUUCUGCCUGACAGAAGAACACGGUGAUGAGCUCAUUCAUGGAUCCUGCCAAGGUUUUUCUUUUUAAUGUAAAAAGAGAUGAAUAAUAUGAAAGAUGGAACCUGGAAAACAAC